rnacentral:snRNA from 1 species
UCACUUUGGCAGUGAAAAUUGGAAAAAUACACAGAUUAGCACAGUUCCUGUGCAAGGAUAAUGUACAAAUUCAUAGUGUUCCAUAUAUUU